rnacentral:rRNA from 1 species
AGUCGAACGAUGAUGCCCAGCUUGCUGGGUGGAUUAGUGGCGAACGGGUGAGUAACACGUGAGUAACCUGCCCCUGACUCUGGGAUAAGCGUUGGAAACGACGUCUAAUACUGGAUAUGACUGCCGGCCGCAUGGUCUGGUGGUGGAAAGAUUUUUUGGUUGGGGAUGGACUCGCGGCCUAUCAGCUUGUUGGUGAGGUAAUGGCUCACCAAGGCGACGACGGGUAGCCGGCCUGAGAGGGUGACCGGCCACACUGGGACUGAGACACGGCCCAGACUCCUACGGGAGGCAGCAGUGGGGAAUAUUGCACAAUGGGCGAAAGCCUGAUGCAGCAACGCCGCGUGAGGGAUGACGGCCUUCGGGUUGUAAACCUCUUUUAGUAGGGAAGAAGCGAAAGUGACGGUACCUGCAGAAAAAGCACCGGCUAACUACGUGCCAGCAGCCGCGGUAAUACGUAGGGUGCAAGCGUUGUCCGGAAUUAUUGGGCGUAAAGAGCUCGUAGGCGGUUUGUCGCGUCUGCUGUGAAAUCCCGAGGCUCAACCUCGGGCUUGCAGUGGGUACGGGCAGACUAGAGUGCGGUAGGGGAGAUUGGAAUUCCUGGUGUAGCGGUGGAAUGCGCAGAUAUCAGGAGGAACACCGAUGGCGAAGGCAGAUCUCUGGGCCGUAACUGACGCUGAGGAGCGAAAGCAUGGGGAGCGAACAGGAUUAGAUACCCUGGUAGUCCAUGCCGUAAACGUUGGGCGCUAGAUGUAGGGACCUUUCCACGGUUUCUGUGUCGUAGCUAACGCAUUAAGCGCCCCGCCUGGGGAGUACGGCCGCAAGGCUAAAACUCAAAGGAAUUGACGGGGGCCCGCACAAGCGGCGGAGCAUGCGGAUUAAUUCGAUGCAACGCGAAGAACCUUACCAAGGCUUGACAUACACCGGAAACGGCCAGAGAUGGUCGCCCCCUUGUGGUCGGUGUACAGGUGGUGCAUGGUUGUCGUCAGCUCGUGUCGUGAGAUGUUGGGUUAAGUCCCGCAACGAGCGCAACCCUCGUUCUAUGUUGCCAGCGCGUUAUGGCGGGGACUCAUAGGAGACUGCCGGGGUCAACUCGGAGGAAGGUGGGGAUGACGUCAAAUCAUCAUGCCCCUUAUGUCUUGGGCUUCACGCAUGCUACAAUGGCCGGUACAAAGGGCUGCGAUACCGUAAGGUGGAGCGAAUCCCAAAAAGCCGGUCUCAGUUCGGAUUGAGGUCUGCAACUCGACCUCAUGAAGUCGGAGUCGCUAGUA